ACAGUCGCUGCACAUUUCGAUGUGGAGAGGAAAGUCCGGGCUCCGUAGAGUGCGAUGCCGGUGAAAUACCGGAGACCGUGAGGUCAUGGAAAGUGGCACAGAAAACAAACCGCCCAAGUAAUUUGGGUAAGGGUGAAAAGGUGCGGUAAGAGCGCACCGCACAGAUGGUAACAUUUGUGGCAGGCUAAACCCCAUCGGGAGCAAGACCAAAUAAGAGGGCAAUGGUGUGACUCGCACGGCUCUCGGGUAGGUUGCCAGAGCCCAUUGGUAACAAUGGGCCUAGAGGAAUGACUGUUCACGACAGAACCCGGCUUACAGACCAGCUUCACAU
rnacentral:RNase_P_RNA from 1 species